GGGAUUGUCUCAGAAUAAUGGUGCCGAUCGAUAUUGUAGCUUUUAUUUAUGCAAAUUUAUGAAAUGCAAAAUACGACAGAAAAACAUAAACAAAGACAAGUUGUAAUAAUUUAAACGAAACUAUAUUUUACUAUAAUAUAUGAAAUUGUAGACCCAUUUCAUGUUGUCAUAAUUAUUGAAAACAAGAAACAUAAUAGUUAUUUUGAAAUACUCCCUUGAUGAAGUCGGAGCAAAUGACAGCAUAGUCAACAGAUCAUGAGAACAGAACGUUCAAAUAUGGAGGAAAGGGUUAAUCUGUGCAGUGUUAUGGGUAUGCUUUAAAACUUUGAAAUAACAGCGGAUGUGGUGUGGCGUACAAGAACAUCAGAAUGGGUUUCAGGUGGUCACAGCUAAAAUUUGCGUGCUUUCUUGUCGUCUUGAUUGUUUGUGAAUAUUUCGCCGUAGCCGCAAUUUUUAACAACGAACACCACACGGCUGAAGUACAGUAUAUGGAAAAACGUCAAGAGGUGAAUCAACAUGAAGGCAAAACAAAAGAAGAGAAUAAACAAAUUAAAAAGACUGGGAAACUUUACAAUAUUUUAUUGUCUCAAUAUAAUAAGCAGUCAUUAUGACGACACGUCUAAAUGCAAUGUUAUUAACUAGUUGAGUGACAAUAACCCCACACGCCUUCAUUAUUAUAAUACCCUGUUUUAUAUACUGUUAUUAUUGUUAAUACUACAGUUUUUGCACUAGUCAUAAUAAAUAUAUUUUUGACUA